ACCCUGAACCUCCCUCAGGUCACCUGAGACAGUAGUGCUGACUGUGCACUACACAACUUUUGGGGCAGCAUCCAGACCAUACCUCUGCCUUCUUGAUUGUCUUCCCUGCCUAUAUACACCUAAAGGAUCUUUCCGAGAUUAUGCACCUGGAACAAUGCCAACCACACCGAAAGAGCUCAAGAAAUUUUCACACGUUUACAAAAGGAUAUAUGUACAUGAAUGGCCAUAGCAACUUUACAACAGGUCAAAACUGGAAACCCAAAUAUUCAUCAACAGAUCACUGAAUAAACAAAGUGUGGCAUACUCACACAAUGGAAUUCUACUCAGCAAUAAAAAGGAAUAAAUCUCCAACAACGUGGAAGCAUCUCAAAGACAUUAUGCUGAGUAAAAGAAGGCAGAUGUAAAGGGAACAUGCUGUAUGAGUCUAUUAAUAUGAAAUUCUGGCAGAUACAGAAGUAAUCUAUUUUGUCUGAAAAACAAAUCAGUGGUUACCUGGAGCUGGGAUUGGCCGAGGAAACUGACUGCAAAGAGGAGCAAGGAAAUUUGGGGAUCGAUGGAAAUGUUCUCUGUCUCAACUGGGGCAAUAGUGACACAGUUCUGUCUGCCAAAACUCACCAACUUAAA